GGGAUUAUAGUUUAGUGGUAGAAUAGCUGCCUUCCAUUCAAGGCCAGCAGCUGGUGAGGGUUCGAUUCCCUCUGAUCUCA